AGUCGAGGGGUAUAGGUUUUCGGACCUAGAGACCGGCGCACGGGUGCGUAACGCGUAUGCAAUCUACCUUUUACAGAGGGAUAGCCCAGAGAAAUUUGGAUUAAUACCUCAUAGUAUUACGACUCGGCAUCGAGAUGUAAUUAAAGUCACAACGGUAAAAGAUGAGCAUGCGUCCCAUUAGCUUGUUGGUAAGGUAACGGCUUACCAAGGCAACGAUGGGUAGGGGUCCUGAGAGGGAGAUCCCCCACACUGGUACUGAGACACGGACCAGACUCCUACGGGAGGCAGCAGUGAGGAAUAUUGGUCAAUGGGCGCAAGCCUGAACCAGCCAUGCCGCGUGCAGGAUGAAGCAUCUAUGGUGUGUAAACUGCUUUUGUACGAGAAGAAACACUCCUACGUGUAGGAGCUUGACGGUAUCGUAAGAAUAAGGACCGGCUAACUCCGUGCCAGCAGCCGCGGUAAUACGGAGGGUCCAAGCGUUAUCCGGAAUCAUUGGGUUUAAAGGGUCCGUAGGCGGUUUUGUAAGUCAGUGGUGAAAGCCCAUCGCUCAACGGUGGAACGGCCAUUGAUACUGCAAGACUUGAAUUAUUGGGAAGCAACUAGAAUAUGUAGUGUAGCGGUGAAAUGCUUAGAGAUUACACGGAAUACCAAUUGCGAAGGCAGGUUGCUACCAAUAUAUUGACGCUGAUGGACGAAAGCGUGGGGAGCGAACAGGAUUAGAUACCCUGGUAGUCCACGCCGUAAACGAUGGAUACUAGCUGUUCGGAGCAAUCUGAGUGGCUAAGCGAAAGUGAUAAGUAUCCCCACUGGGGAGUACGUUCGCAAGA
rnacentral:rRNA from 1 species